rnacentral:rRNA from 1 species
AGUUCUUUUAUUGAAGAAGAAAAAAUAGUGGAAAAACUAUAUUGACGUUAUUCAAUGAAUAAGCCCCGGCUAACUAUGUGCCAGCAGCCGCGGUAAGACAUAGGGGGCGAGCGUUAUCCGGAAUUAUUGGGCGUAAAGGGUGCGUAGGCGGUUAGAUAAGUCUAUAAUUUAAUUUCAGUGCUUAACGCUGUCUUGUUAUAGAAACUGUCUUGACUAGAGUGAGAUAGAGGCAAGCGGAAUUCCAUGUGUAGCGGUAAAAUGUGUAAAUAUAUGGAGGAACACCAGAAGCGUAGGCGGCUUGCUGGGUCUUUACUGACGCUGAGGCACGAAAGCGUGGGGAGCAAACAGGAUUAGAUACCCUGGUAGUCCACGCUGUAAACGAUGAGUACUAAGUGUCGGGGAAACUCGGUACUGAAGUUAACACAUUAAGUACUCCGCCUGAGUAGUACGUACGCAAGUAUGAAACUUAAAGGAAUUGACGGGACUCCGCACAAGCGGUGGAUCAUGUUGUUUAAUUCGAAGAUACACGAAAAACCUUACCAGGUCUUGACAUACUCUGCAAAGCUAUAGAAAUAUAGUGGAGGUUAUCAGGGAUACAGGUGGUGCAUGGUUGUCGUCAGUUCGUGUCGUGAGAUGUUAGGUUAAGUCCUAAAACGAACGCAACCCCUGUCGUUAGUUGCCAGCACGUAAUGGUGGGGACUUUAGCGAGACUGCCAAUUAAACAUUGGAGGAAGGUGGGGAUAACGUCAAAUCAUCAUGCCCC